rnacentral:rRNA from 1 species
ACAGGGAGGUAGUGACAAGAAAUAACAAUACAGGACUUUUUGGUUUUGUAAUUGGAAUGAGUUAAGUAUAAACCCCUUUACAAGUAUCAAUUGGAGGGCAAGUCUGGUGCCAGCAGCCGCGGUAAUUCCAGCUCCAAUAGCGUAUAUUAAAGUUGUUGCAGUUAAAAAGCUCGUAGUUGGAUUUCUGUUAAUAAUUUAUAUAAUGUAUUUUGAUGAAUAUUUAUAUAAUAUUAACAUAAUUCAUAUUACUAUUUUUUUUUAGUAUAUGAAAUUUUACUUUGAGAAAAUUAGAGUGCUUAAAGCAGGCAUAUGCCUUGAAUACUCCAGCAUGGAAUAAUAUUAAAGAUUUUUAUCUUUUUUAUUGGUUCUAAGAUAAGAAUAAUGAUUAAUAGGGACAGUUGGGGGCAUUUGUAUUUAACAGUCAGAGGUGAAAUUCUUAGAUUUGUUAAAGACAAACUAAUGCGAAAGCAUUUGCCAAGGAUGUUUUCAUUAAUCAAGAACGAAAGUUAGGGGAUCGAAGACGAUCAGAUACCGUCGUAGUCUUAACCAUAAACUAUGCCAACUAGAGAUUGGAGGUUGUUCCUUACUCCUU